GUGUCAGCAGCCGCGGUAAUACGGAGGGUGCGAGCGUUAUCCGGAAUUACUGGGUUUAAAGGGUGCGUAGGCGGCGCAGUAAGUCAGGAGUGAAAGUUUGCGGCUCAACCGUAAAAUUGCUUUUGAUACUGCUGUGCUGGAAUUAGGAUGAGGUCAGCGGAAUGUGGCAUGUAGCGGUGAAAUGCAUAGAUAUGCCAUAGAACACCAAUUGCGAAGGCAGCUGGCUAGACCUGGAUUGACGCUGAGGCACGAAAGCGUGGGGAGCGAACAGGAUUAGAUACCCUAGUAGUCC
rnacentral:rRNA from 1 species